GAUGAACGCUGGCGGCGUGCCUAAUACAUGCAAGUCGAGCGAACGGACGAGAAGCUUGCUUCUCUGAUGUUAGCGGCGGACGGGUGAGUAACACGUGGAUAACCUACCUAUAAGACUGGGAUAACUUCGGGAAACCGGAGCUAAUACCGGAUAAUAUUUUGAACCGCAUGGCUCAAAAGUGAAAGACGGUCUUGCUGUCACUUAUAGAUGGAUCCGCGCUGCAUUAGCUAGUUGGUAAGGUAACGGCUUACCAAGGCAACGAUGCAUAGCCGACCUGAGAGGGUGAUCGGCCACACUGGAACUGAGACACGGUCCAGACUCCUACGGGAGGCAGCAGUAGGGAAUCUUCCGCAAUGGGCGAAAGCCUGACGGAGCAACGCCGCGUGAGUGAUGAAGGUCUUCGGAUCGUAAAACUCUGUUAUUAGGGAAGAACAUAUGUGUAAGUAACUGUGCACAUCUUGACGGUACCUAAGCAGAAAGCCACGGCUAACUACGU
rnacentral:rRNA from 1 species